rnacentral:miRNA from 1 species
GACUGUCUGUCUGUGACUGUGUGUGUGUGACUGCCUGUCUGUAACUGUGUGUGUGUGUGUGUGUGUGAGGCAGUCACACACACACACACACACACACACACAGUUACAGACAGGCAGUCACACACACACAGUCACA